AUUGAACGCUGGCGGCAGGCCUAAUACAUGCAAGUCGAGCGGAGCGGCGGACGGGUGGGUAAUGCCUAGGAAUCUGCCUGGUAGUGGGGGAUAACGCCCGGGAAAGGGCGCUAAAACCGCAUACUCUCAGAUGAGCCUAGGUCGGAUUAGCUAGUUGGUGGGGUAAAGGCCUACCAAGGCGACGAUCCGUAACUGGUCUGAGAGGAUGAUCAGUCACACUGGAACUGAGACACUGUCCCGACUCCUACGGGAGGCAGCAGUGGGGAAUAUUGGACAAUGGGCGAAAGCCUGUUCCAGCCAUGCCGCGUGUGUGAAGAAGGUCUUCGGAUUGUAAAGCACUUUAAGUUUGGAGGCGUUACCAACAGAAUAAGCACCGGCUAACUUCGUGCCAGCAGCCGCGGUAAUAC
rnacentral:rRNA from 1 species